GUGAAUCAUCAAAUUUUUGAACGCAAAUUGCGCUUCCUGGCAUCCCGGGAAGUAUGCCUGUUUGAGGGUCAGUAGUAACAAAAAAUCGGUGUGGUUGCAAAUUGUGACGGUUCCGGAGUUUGGGUUAUCUUGACUUUUUUGGUUAAGUGGCUGAAAAUGGACCUUUUUUGCGCAUUUUUAGACGUACAUAAAUUUUUUUUUUAUUCGUCUUUGCUUAAUGCCAAAAUCUUAUUAGAUGCGAUCUCAUCUA
rnacentral:misc_RNA from 1 species